rnacentral:rRNA from 1 species
GACAGAGGGGGCAAGCGUUGCUCGGAAUCACUGGGCGUAAAGGGCGCGUAGGCGGGAUGGCAAGUCAGUCGUGAAAUCUCUCGGCUCAACCGAGAAACGUCGGCUGAUACUGCCGUUCUUGAGGGAUGCAGAGGAGACUGGAAUUCCCGGUGUAGCGGUGAAAUGUGUAGAGAUCGAGAGGAACACCUGCGGCGAAGGCGGGUUGCUGGGCUGAUACUGACGCUGAGGCGCGAAAGCCAGGGGAGCGAACGGG